AUUGAACGCUGGCGGCAUGCUUUACACAUGCAAGUCGAACGGCAGCGCGGACUUCGGUCUGGCGGCGAGUGGCGAACGGGUGAGUAAUAUAUCGGAACGUACCCAAGAGUGGGGAUAACGUAGCGAAAGUUACGCUAAUACCGCAUACGAUCUAAGGAUGAAAGCAGGGGAUCGCAAGACCUUGUGCUCCUGGAGCGGCCGAUAUCUGAUUAGCUAGUUGGUGAGGUAAAGGCUCACCAAGGCAACGAUCAGUAGCUGGUCUGAGAGGACGACCAGCCACACUGGAACUGAGACACGGUCCAGACUCCUACGGGAGGCAGCAGUGGGGAAUUUUGGACAAUGGGGGCAACCCUGAUCCAGCAAUGCCGCGUGAGUGAAGAAGGCCUCGGUUGUAAGACUCUUUGUUCAGGGAAGAAAGGACGUGUGGCUAAUAUCCAUAGCUGCUGACGGUACCUGAAGAAUAAGCACCGGCUAA
rnacentral:rRNA from 1 species